rnacentral:rRNA from 1 species
GAUUAACGCGAAGAACCUUACCCAGGCUUGACAUGCAGUGGACCGGGCUAGAAAUAGCCCUUUCCUUCGGGACCGCUGCACAGGUGCUGCAUGGCUGUCGUCAGCUCGUGCCGUGAGGUGUUUGGUUAAGUCCAGCAACGAGCGCAACCCUUAUCAUUAGUUGCCAACACGUGAAGGUGGGAACUCUAAUGAGACUGCCUGGGUUAACCAGGAGGAAGGUGAGGAUGACGUCAAGUCCGCAUGGCCCUUAUGUCUGGGGCAACACACGUGCUACAAUGGUCGGUACAGAAGGCAGCGAAACCGCAAGGCGGAGCAAAUCCCCAAAGCCGGCCCCAGUUCAGAUUGUAGUCUGCAACUCGACUACAUGAAGAUGGAAUUGCUAGUAAUGGCAGGUCGGCACACUGCCGUGAAUACGUUCCCGGGCCUUGUACACACCGAAUCACUAGU